AUGUGUCUGUGUAUGCGCCAGUGUGUGUAUCUCUGUGUCAGUGUGUAUGUGUGUGUAUAACUGACACACAGAUACACACAUGCACAGUGGUACACAGAUACACACACCUUAACACACAGUGUGUA